rnacentral:rRNA from 1 species
AUUGAACGCUGGCGGCAGGCCUAACACAUGCAAGUCGAACGAGUGGCGGACGGGUGAGUAAUGUCUGGGAAACUGCCUGAUGGAGGGGGAUAACUACUGGAAACGGUAGCUAAUACCGCAUACCAUCAGAUGUGCCCAGGUGGGAUUAGCUGGUUGGUGGGGUAACGGCUCACCAAGGCGACGAUCCCUAGCUGGUCUGAGAGGAUGACCCGCCACACUGGAACUGAGACACGGCCCAGACUCCUACGGGAGGCAGCAGUGGGGAAUAUUGGACAAUGGGCGCAAGCCUGAUCCAGCCAUGCCGCGUGUAUGAAGAAGGCCUUCGGGUUGUAAAGGACUUUCAGCGGGGAGGCGUUACCUGCAGAAGAAGCACCGGCUAACUCCGUGCCAGCAGCCGCGGUAAUAC